rnacentral:lncRNA from 1 species
ACGGGAUUCCUGCUGGAGCAUUAGAGCUUGCAUGAGGAGCGGGAUCUUGGUUGCCCUAGAACCAUUUUAUGGAGGAAAAAAUCACCUGUGACUACUACUGCAGGCAUUUGAAUGGAUCACGCCUUUCAGUGGAGAUGAGACAUCUCUCUUGUUUAUGUGAGGAUCCUCCUUCUUAUCCCAAAAGGAGAAGAGAGGGGACAAAAAGGAAGGAGAGACCUUCUCCCCUGUUGCACACAGCAGGGCCAUGGGAUGCCGCUGGAUGCUGGUGAUUCCAUUUAUGCCAUCUGGCACAGUGCCCCACAUUACCCUCAGAAUUAUGGAAUUAUCAACUACUUCACAGAUUAUACAGUGCUAAGUUUGUAAUUCUCAUCAUUUCUCAUUUCUUCUAAAUCUGCACAAUUAUUUGUAAUAAAAAUCAACCUUGACACUGCAAGGUAGUCACCAUAUGUAUUCAUAUUAAAUUCGCAUUUCAGUUAUUGGAAGACAUGCCUGCCAGCUGAUCUUAAUGCAAUAAUUUAUCACUUUUUAUUAUAAUAAUACCUCAGGAUUCUUACAAAAGUCACUGUGCUGAACUGAUGAGCUAGGGAAGGAAGAAAUGGCCAGAAGUCCAGAAUGCCAACCUCCUCUGUAAAUUAGGACUGAUCUUUUUCACAUUGCUAAACUGACUGCUGCACUAGCCAUGUGGCUGAGUGACGACAGAACUUGUUCAAGUAGGCAAAUAUUCAGUCAGUUCUGUAUUAUAUGAGCUAGAAAGACAUUACAAAGACAUUGAGUGCAUCUACAAGGCUCUAUCAUUCUCUGUCUUAACUUUACCUACUAUGAUCUCUACCUUCUUCCCAGCUCUCUCUAGAAGCUGAACAUUUCAAAGUCUUCCAUGUAGCCUGUUUAGCAGGCUUUCUCACACAUAGUUCUGGCUACAUAAAAAUAUGUGUUAAUUACUAACAAGCGUGUCAGUAUAACCAUUACACAAGAAAACAUAAAAAUGGUAAAACAAACAAACAAAAAAAAAAACCAUCCAGAUUUUCAAUUUAGUCUAUUUCAAGAAUAGAAAUAUUAUUCAAAAUUUACCUACUACAAAACAUUACUUCAUAUUAAUAUCAAUGAAUCAUUCUAAAAUAAAAAUAUAAUUAUAUAAGAACAGUGGAUCAUUCAGUUAGACUACAUGCAAUAAUAAACAACAAAGACCACAAAUAUGGUGGGACUAACUUGCCAAGUUGGCAGAAUAUUAUAUGUAAGCAUCCAAAAAGUGAAAGUGAUGUUUUCCGCUCUCUUUCCAUCUUCUGUUCUAACUGGGUGGUCCCAUAUCAUGACCCUGACAGCCUACACUGCUCAUUUGGGUAAGAGCAGGCAUGUCCGACUCGCAGCCAGCAUGCAGCCUGGCACAGCUGGCAAGGUCGCCUGGCCUCUGUCCUGUGAAACCUGUCCUCCACUGCUGCUGCAGCUCUGUCCCACUGCAUGGCCUGGCCCAGACACAGGAGUGCACCCAUCACUCAGCAACAACAAAACACCAGUGACCUAUUAAAACUGUCUGAGCUGAGACCAGGACAUGGGGAGGGCACAGUGCAGUGCUGACUCAAAUUAUAACAAAUAAUUGUAUGCAUUUUGGUUAGCUGGCUAAACACGGUCUUGUGAACAGCAAAAAAGUAUGCAGCCCUGCUUUCUGUUUUGAUAAAGGAACUUGAGAACAGGUUUUAAGAUAGCAAAAAAAAAAACCCCAUAUUUUUUAAUGUAUUUGUAACUCCAUUUUCAGACUACCUAAAUACAUUACCUCUGACUUUUCACAUGGAGUGUAUAAAGUUGCAAUCAGACAUUCAACUCAAAAAUCUGACCAUGUUGCUUUAUUUUUAUGAGACCUAUCCUGUCAGAUAAAACCAUCCCUCUCUUCACAAUAGCACCAUACUCAUGUCAUUGCUUUUUGGCAGUAUGUAUAUUUGUGAACAACUAUUUCCAAGGAUGAAAUACAGGAAGAAUAAUACUUCACCAAAAAAUCUGUGAUGAACACCUUGAGAACUCACCAAGAAUAGCAGUCACUACCAUCAAACCAGACUGAUGCAUUAAUUUAAAAAUCAGUGCCACAUAUCC